CAUCCCACAUCACCGGGAAUGUUUCAUCACGAUUCCUUGGUGGUGUUAUGUCACAUCCAAAUCACUCUGUGAUGUCGUUGCCGCAGCCCUUGAGAUGUUUAGAGACUCUUAAUAUUCUGCCAACCACAGGACAGGCAAAACACAGGGCGGGGUGGACAAGCAAUGGUGCCUCGCAGUUCAUCCUCUCACCCAACAGGCCCCACUGUUGGGUUCUCCAGCUGAUGAGUCACACCAGAAGUGAAGGGUCAUUCCUGCAUCUUGCAGGAUGAUGGACAACUUCAUUAAGCUGGAGAGGAGGGCAGAGCCAGGCAGUGUCUGGGAGAAGGACCUUGGAGCAGAAGGCUCCGUUCCUUGGCCAAACCUUCCAUUACCUUGUGUGGUCUUUGGCAACUCUCUGAACACUCCGUGCCUCAGUUUCUCAACCUGGAGAACAGGAUGAUCCCAAUCAGCAAAGCUGGAUGAGUUUGCAGUGCUGCACCCCAGAGGAGGAGGGCAGGGUCUGGACCUCCUCAUGUCCACUGAUGUCACCCCCAUCCUCUCAUACUCCCACAGGGACAUGCUGUAGAUCCCAAAUGGCCAGAGAAUGUCAUUUAUAGAACAAGCAUUAAUGCCCAAGGGUGCGGAGGCCCCAUCCCAGCACUGGCCUCUGGAUUGCUUUGUUUUCCUGCUCGGCUGAGUCGCUAACCUUGCAAUAAACACCAGAGUCAUUAUCAUAAAACUGGGGAAAAUGCUGUCAUUAAA